UACGUAGGGUGCAGGCGUUAAUCGGAAUUACUGGGCGUAAAGCGUGCGCAGGCGGUUUGCUAAGACAGGUGUGAAAUCCCCGGGCUUAACCUGGGAACUGCGCUUGUAACUGGCAAGCUGGAGUGUGGCAGAGGGGGGUGGAAUUCCGACGUGUAGCAGUGAAAUGCGUAGAGAUGUGGAGGAACACCGAUGGCGAAGGCAGCCCCCUGGGCUAACACUGACGCCUCAUGCACGAAAGCGUGGGGAGCAAACAGG
rnacentral:rRNA from 1 species